rnacentral:rRNA from 1 species
UGAGGAAUAUUGGGCAAUGCCCGCAAGGGUGACCCAGCAACGCCGCGUGGAGGAUGAAUGUCGUAAGAUUGUAAACUCCUGUUAGAGGGGAAGAAUAGUACCGGUUGGACCGGUAUAUGACUGUACCCUCAGAGAAAGCCCCGGCUAACUACGUGCCAGCAGCCGCGGUAAUACGUAGGGGGCAAGCGUUGUCCGGAUUUACUGGGUGUAAAGGGCGCGCAGGCGGGAUAAAAAGUCAGUGGUGAAAUCCUACAGCUUGACUGUAGAACUGCCUUUGAUACUUUUAUUCUUGAGUUCGGGAGAGAGAGACGGAAUUCCAGGUGUAGUGGUGAAAUACGUAGAUAUCUGGAAGAACACCAGUUGCGAAGGCGGUCUCUUGGUCCGACACUGACGCUGAGGCGCGAAAGCGUGGGGAGCAAACA